UGGCUUAGAGGGUAAAGCGUCUGCCUACAAUGCAGGAGACCCAGGUUCAAUCCCUGG
rnacentral:tRNA from 1 species